GGGGGUAUAGCUCAGCUGGGAGAGCGCAUGGCUGGCAGCCAUGAGGUCAGGGGUUCAAGUCCCCUUACCUCCACAA
rnacentral:tRNA from 1 species